AGCAUGUGUGUUAGUGGAAGCGUCUGGAAAGGCGCGCGAUACAGGGUGACAGCCCCGUACACAAAAGCGCAUGUGCUGUGAGCUCGAUGAGUAGGGCGGGACACGUGGUAUCCUGUCUGAAUAUGGGGGGACCAUCCUCCAAGGCUAAAUACUCCUGACUGACCGAUAGUGAACCAGUACCGUGAGGGAAAGGCGAAAAGAACCCCGGCGAGGGGAGUGAAAAAGAACCUGAAACCGUGUACGUACAAGCAGUGGGAGCACAGGUUUACCUGUGUGACUGCGUACCUUUUGUAUAAUGGGUCAGCGACUUAUAUUCUGUAGCAAGGUUAACCGAAUAGGGGAGCCGGAGGGAAACCGAGUCUUAAUUGGGCGUUAAGUUGCAGGGUAUAGACCCGAAACCCGGUGAUCUAGCCAUGGGCAGGUUGAAGGUUGGGUAACACUAACUGGAGGACCGAACCGACUAAUGUUGAAAAAUUAGCGGAUGACCUGUGGCUGGGGGUGAAAGGCCAAUCAAACCGGGAGAUAGCUGGUUCUCCCCGAAAGCUAUUUAGGUAGCGCCUCGUGAAUUCAUCUCCGGGGGUAGAGCACUGUUUCGGCUAGGGGGCCAUCCCGGCUUACCAACCCGAUGCAAACUGCGAAUACCGGAGAAUGUUAUCACGGGAGACACACGGCGGGUGCUAACGUCCGUCGUGAAGAGGGAAACAACCCAGACCGCCAGCUAAGGUCCCAAAGUCAUGGUUAAGUGGGAAACGAUGUGGGAAGGCCCAGACAGCCAGGAUGUUGGCUUAGAAGCAGCCAUCAUUUAAAGAAAGCGUAAUAGCUCACUGGUCGAGUCGGCCUGCGCGGAAGAUGUAACGGGGCUAAACCAUGCACCGAAGCUGCGGCAGCGACGCUUAUGCGU
rnacentral:rRNA from 1 species